GUCCUUUUGAGUUUAAUUUAAGGUCUAACCUGCCCACUGAAUUUUUAAAUGGCCGCAGUAAUUUGACUGUGCAAAGGUAGCAUAAUAAUUAGUUUUUUAAUUUAAAGCUUGUAUGAAGGGUUGGACGAAAUAAAAUCUGUCUCUAUUUAAUUAAAUUUAGAAUUUAACUUUUAAGUCAAAAGGCUUAAAUAUUAUUAAAAGACGAGAAGACCCUAUAGAUCUUUAUAUUUUUUUUUAUAAUUUUARUUAGGAAUUUUUAAUUUUUUAUUAAAAAAAGUAUUUUAUUGGGGUAAUAUAAAGAUUAAAAUAAUUCUUUUUUUAUUUAAACAUAAAUUUAUGAUUAUUAAUGAUCCAAUUUUAUUGAUUAUAAGAUUAAGUUACCUUAGGGAUAACAGSGUAAUUUUUUUUGAGAGUUCUWAUCGAUAAAAAAGUUUGCGACCUYGAUGUUGGAUUAAAGAUUAUUUUAGGUGUAGAAGCUUGAAAAUUUUGGYYUGUUYGACCAUUAAAUYUUUACMUGAYCKGAGUUCAGACCGGCGUAAGCCAGGUCGGUUUCUAUCUUUAGUAAAUUAAAAUAUUUUAGUACGAAAGGACCAAUUAUUUAAUAUAUUUAUAUUUAAUUUUUGAAUAUUAUUAA
rnacentral:rRNA from 1 species